UACGAAGGGGGCUAGCGUUGUUCGGAAUCACUGGGCGUAAAGGGCGCGUAGGCGGCUUUGUAAGUCGGGGGUGAAAGCCUGUGGCUCAACCACAGAAUUGCCUUCGAUACUGCAUGGCUUGAGACCGGAAGAGGUAAGUGGAACUGCGAGUGUAGAGGUGAAAUUCGUAGAUAUUCGCAAGAACACCAGUGGCGAAGGCGGACUUACUGGUCCGGUUCUGACGCUGAGGCGCGAAAGCGUGGGGAGCAAACAGG
rnacentral:rRNA from 1 species